CAAUAGCGUAUAUUAAAGUUGUUGCGGUUAAAAAGCUCGUAGUUGGAGUUCUGCCAGGUGCCGCCUGUCCGCCCCAGUGGUGAGUACGUGGCGCGCAUUUGGCCCUUUCAAGGGGAGCGUAUCUGCACUUUAUUGUGUGGUGCGGGAUCCUUGACUUUUACUUUGAGGAAAUAGGAGUGUUCCAAGCAGGCUCUCGUCGUGCACAGCUCAGCAUGGAAUAAUAGCAUUGGACCUCGAUUCUAAGCUGUUGGUUGCCAGAAGCGAGGUAAUGAUGAAGAGGGAUAGUUGGGGGCAUUCGUAUUUAACUGUCAGAGGUGAAAUUCUUGGAUUUAUGAAAGACGAACUUCUGCGAAAGCAUUUGUCAAGGAUGUUUUCAUUAA
rnacentral:rRNA from 1 species